rnacentral:antisense_RNA from 1 species
AAUUAUGGUGGGCUGGAUGAGGCGACUUCGGUCGGCCGCGUUUCCUUUGGAGCGGUACUGCGAACCUUGUUCAGUUCACCACCCAA